AAAGCUGAACUGUCUGGUCGCAUGGGAAUUCGUCUGAUCUUCAUUGACGGUCGGUGGUGUUGGAGUCGUAGGAGAUUCUGGUGGCGUAAAAAAGGGCUUGUAUCCAGCGAGGAACCUUGCACGACACCACUUGACCAAUCCAGUAGCCAUAGGGCCCUCAUACGUAAACACGGACACACUGUCAAACUUGUGUCCAACUCGCACAAUCAAAAAUAACCGAAAAACUAACUUUUUUAUUAUUACUAAUUAUUGUCGUGUAUUAUUGUUGUUUUUAUUAUUACACCACUGGUUUUUUUUAUAGGGUUUAGUAAUCGUUGUAUAUUUUCUCUUUGGGCAUAGGCGCGUUGGCGCGGCGUCACGAUUCUUCACUUGGGGAAGAAAAUAAGAAAAAAAAAAAGAAAAUUAAAACGAACGAAAAUGAGUGAACGUAAAAAAAAGAACCGAAAGAAAAACUUCAAAGGAAAACUCACGAGUAACUAACCAUAAUACACUGCUGCGCAGCGGUCAGGAAGCAAACACCUUGCUCAACGUCAUAUCGCUUUUAAUAUACCACACAACUAGUGUGUAUAUUCAUUUAAUAUGAAUAAGUUAUUGUCUUUGAUUAUUAUUUAAUUACUUGUUGUUUUUUUUUUCAAUUUUAUAAUAAACGGUCAGAUAGAAGAAGAGAGUUUAUAUAUCCUUGCUACUCUUUAAUGUUCUUCAAAUGUUGUUGUAAUUAUUAUUUUAUAAACGUAACUUUAGCCAAGGGGAAGCACUGAAGGUAUCUUUUAUUUUUCUGAUUAAAGAAAAAGAUCCUUGUAGAUUUUUAGUUAAUUUAUAAUUUGUUUAGUUCGUUCGGUGAUUUUAUUUUGUUCAGUUCUGUUUAUUUUUUUGGAAGAGCGAGGAGCCAGUUCAUUUAUUAGGUCACUCAAGUCUCCCGUUUCUCCGGUACACAUGUGUACAGUGUAAACGUUUUGUACCGCUCGUUACCGAAUGAGUAAUAAUAAAAAAGGUGGCGAUAGUUCGAUAAUAGAAUAAUAAUAUCGUUGAAUACGAUUAUUGUAAGGAACUGUGAAUAACGUGUAUAUUAGUUUCGUUUGUUGUUUUGCC
rnacentral:misc_RNA from 1 species